rnacentral:rRNA from 1 species
GGAGAAAAGUUAAAGCGUAAAGCGGUGAAAGAUGGUCUCGCGUCCCAUUAGUUAGUUGGUGAGGUAACGGCUCACCAAGACUGCGAUGGGUAGCCGGCCUGAGAGGGUGAACGGCCACACUGGAACUGAGACACGGUCCAGACUCCUACGGGAGGCAGCAGUGGGGAAUAUUGCACAAUGGAGGAAACUCUGAUGCAGCGACGCCGCGUGAACGAUGAAGGCUUUCGGGUCGUAAAGUUCUGUCCUAGGGGACGAUAAUGACGGUACCCUAGGAGGAAGCCCCGGCUAACUACGUGCCAGCAGCCGCGGUAAUACGUAGGGGGCGAGCGUUGUCCGGAUUUAUUGGGCGUAAAGGGUUCGCAGGCGGUCUCUUAAGUUAGAUGUGAAAGAUCACGGCUCAACCGUGGUAAGCAUUUAAAACUGGGAGACUUGAGUUAAGGAGAGGAAAGUGGAAUUCCUAGUGUAGCGGUGAAAUGCGUAGAUAUUAGGAGGAAUACCAGUGGCGAAGGCGACUUUCUGGACUUAUACUGACGCUGAGGAACGAAAGCGUGGGGAGCAAACAGGAUUAGAUACCCUGGUAGUCCACGCCGUAAACGAUGAGUGCUAGGUGUCGGGGGUCAAACCUCGGUGCCGCAGCUAACGCA